AAACCGGUAUUUCAGGUCCCCUUGGCAACCCCCAGUGCCCUACCUCCUGAGGAUUGCGCUUCUAAAGGACUGUGAGCAGACAGACUUCUGGAAGCCAUGGAGAAUCUGACGUCAUUCCCACGGGUAAUUGAUGAAAUCUGCCCGGAGACUGGGGAGAGAGAAGUAGGUGAAGUGGAGGGCAGACUCGAGCGGAGCUGUUUGCAGUGAAGCAGGGGAGAGAGAAGAGUGGGAUGGGGUCCAUCAGACUUCAGAAACCCACUCCUGCCUGGGAGGAUGGGGGGGUGUGCUUGCAGGUGGGACCAAAAGAUAGGGAUCCGUAGCUCAGAGUCAUAAAAACUGAAAGGCGUUGAGCAUUUGCAUGGAGAAACAUACAGAUGAAAACAACUGUUAGCAAGUGUAUUUUUUCCAGCAAUGAAAAAAAUGGAUGUACAAGCCUAUUGUUGCAACUGUGAAGGGGAGAGCCCUACUAAAGGGAUGAUGCUAAAUGCAAAUAAAUUGUAAAGUGUAUGUUGUUAAUUUAAGAGUACGUUAAUAAUUUGUGUCACGGAUAUUCGAUGUUUUGAAUAUGCUGUCAUUGUCAGUUUUCUUUCUGUCAAUGUAAAAAUAUGAUGAUUUCAUGAGUUCACUCGGACUUCACUCCCCUAACCCUAUUUUUUCCCCAGUAAGGUCCUAAAUUCCUCAAGCCUGACUUCUCCUGCCCCAGGGGUUUUCAGAAACCUAACCCCCAUGGUUGACGAGGGACUGCUGUGUGUGGAGUGGUAACUGCCCUCAAGGAGCUUACAAUCUAGCUGGGGGUAAAUGACUUGCACAUGAACGCAACUAGACUGUGAGCUUCUAGAGGGCAGGGGCCUUACCCUGGUCAUCUCUCUUCUCACCCUGCACACCCUCCCUGAGGGACCUCAUCCAUCCCAUGGCGUCAACCACCACCUCGUGCUGAGGACCCUCUAGGCCUGGACUGCCUCGUGAGUGCUGCCUCCAGCUCUCCAGCCAUCCACAGUGUGGGAUGUGGGAUGCUCCACGGCAUUGCCGACUCCACCUGCUCACCAAAACCCAGCUUGUCCUCUCUUCUUUGGGCCAGCCCUGGCUCCUGGGUUCCGGGGCUCUGUCCCCCAAAUCAAAGAUCCAAGGGGUCACUUAUGGACUGAGCUUGAUGGAAAAAUGCCUAUGUUUCACUGUUACGUAAAAAGGGAGCCUGUCAAAUUGUAUAGACAUAAUGAGCUCAUGUAUGUGAAAUACAUAGAUUGAAAGAUAGAGAAAUGCUCCAGAAUGUGUC
rnacentral:lncRNA from 1 species